AUUAUCCUAUUUUUAUUGAUGAAAAAAUUACAUUUAUUUAGUGAUGAUGGAACUUUUGACAGAAUUAUAAGGGUUCACUUUUUUUGUUGUUUUUAAUCAAAAUAUUGAUUUAUAUGUUUGAUUUCUUCGUGACAUAGUCACUUGGAUGCGCUAUUCCAGGAUACCAUAUAUUGGGUGUUUAAACAACAAACAUUUAUUUCUUUCAGGUUGGAAGGCUGGGAAAUACAAGAUCAAUGUACUAGCAGAUCUGGUGGUCCAGCUGGCUUUCUUCUUGUAUCCUCAUAUGGCACAAAGAGAGAGCACUCUGAGAUGGGAUUUCACCGUGUUAACCAGGAUGGUCUCCAUCUCCUGA
rnacentral:lncRNA from 1 species